CCCAAAAAACAUCAAGGUUUAAAAAACAUGAAACAGCAAAGGCAAAUAGAGCAAAACAAAAAAUCUAGAAGCUUCAAAACCAGACCCUUGCAGAAAACUCAAACCCUAAAUGGUAAAAAGACCUUCCAAUGAUUUUGGUGAACUAAAAAACAAGCUGGAAGGGGAUUGAGGUUACCUCUUCAAUAUUUCAAAAAUAGCCCCAACCCACAAAAUAGUGCACAAAAUCCAAGUUAUUAUGAUGGUUGUUGAAAUCGACGGUCUGCAUCUGCCAACUCUUUAGCUUCCAUCGAUGCAUCCUCAACCGAGAAGCAGACCUCAAGCGUCAUCAAGCCCUUCUUCGCCAAUGCAUGUGCAACAGAAUUACAUUUGCGCUUAGUAAAAUUGAAUCGACAACCAGAGAAAGACCCUGCCCAGACCUUUGUAUCCUAAGUAACCGAUCUUGUUUCUGAAUUGUCCCCGCUUGGAAAUGUUAGGUUCUUAAUUGUGAGUUUUGAGUCACUCUCCAAAAUAAUCUGUGAAAAACCCAUAUCAUAUGCAAACUAUAAUCCAUGGAGCACUGUUAUUACUUCUGCCACUGUAGCUGUAGUGACCAGCCGAGAAACCAAUGUCAACAUUCAUUUUUACCCAGUUCGAUGGAGGAGGGUUCCAGUGGAUCAUCUCACGCGGUCCUAGAUGUUGCAGAUUAUCUGUUAAGUCUCAAUAUUCACGGCCAUACCCUCUAAUGAAGCAAUUCGUAGUACGAGAAUAGCAAAGAAGAUUGUUUGGUUGAAAGUCAGAAAACAUCAAGUGUCUGCAUAUCCAAAAACACAAGUACGAAUCCGGUUAAGCCAAAGAAAUGAGAGAAGGUCUCAGUACCAAAGGGAAGGAACGUGUAGAGUAAAUAAAGCUCUAAAUAAAGAAAUCUGGUGAGUUCCUUCGAACCUUGAGUCUAAUAUCUGCGUUAUUUCGUUUAACCUUUAUCAUUGUACACCAGGUAAGUGGUUUUUUCCUUUGGCUCUGAUGCUCGUGUCUAAGGAAAUGCAUUUAAAAAGUCAGUGCAUGCAAAGGUAUAAACGGUUAAACAGACUCAAAAAUUUGAUAUAUACAUGAUGUAGAUACUCAUUCCUUGGUGCACAAGCUUUGUAUCCAGACUGGUGCAAGGAGGUAUCAGAGGGAUGUUGUGUAUGAUGAGUAAAAGAAACAUAGGAUAAUAUGUUUUGCGUCCGUUAUGACACUCUGGUGCAAACCAUGACUAGUGAAAACCCGACCUUACAGGGGAACACAAGUGUGUGUUCAAAAACAAGAAAGAAUGUUAGGGGAUACGGAGGUGAUGAAUAGUAAAUAACUCUGAUAAGUGGUAUGAAGGUAUAGGAAAAUGGUUCCUCGAAACUAGGAUUAAAAGCUAGCUCAAAGAAGGGAGUAUGUAGGAAAAUAGGUGUAUGUGUGUAAAAUAAGCAAUGCACAUUGCAUGAAAUGUAAACAAUAAGCCUGACAGUUAAAAAGGGGUAGUCUGCAUAAGUGGCAUAUACAUGGAGCAAUUGUGUCUAUGUUUGUCACAUGCGAGAUUCCAAAAACAGUUAGUGUCUACCAGUAGGAUAAGUUUGAUCAUGGUAGUAUCCACCAGCAGAUACAUCAGAUCAGAUUGAGUUAUGUAUCCACCAAAAAUGGCAUGCUAGUCCGUUAGUUCGAGUUUAACCUCUUUAUGUCUGAUGGUGUUUUUAAGGGAUCCAUUUUUUGGGAACUCACUAAGUUCUUUCAAACUUACCUAGUUUCUUCUUCUUACUUUCAGGUUGUUAGAUGAAUGUGGUGAUAGUAAGGGAACAAUUAGACUAGCAACCCAUUUGUGAGCCUUUUUGAUGUUCUUUUAGUGACAUGUAAUUGUUGGGGGUAUUAAGACAAUUGUUAAAUGCCGCUAUUUAAAAGUCAUUGAACUGCAUUUUGAAAAUGAUAUUUUGUACUUGUGAAUGUUUAUCGGUGGCCUUUUCGGCGUAUUAUUAAUUAUGGUUUAUGGCAUUAUCAGAUUAAAUUGA